CUCAUUAAAUCAGUUAUAGUUUAUUUGAUGGUCUCUUUUGUCUUUUUUACCUACUUGGAUAACCGUGGUAAUUCUAGAGCUAAUACAUGCGCAAGGUCCCGAGCGCGGGGGGCGAGGGCUUCACGGCCCUGUCCUCGCAUGCGCAGAGGGAUGUAUUUAUUAGGUUAAACAACCAGCAUUUUAACAAUCAUCUGGUGAUUCAUAGUAACUCUUUCGGAUCGCAUUCAUG
rnacentral:rRNA from 1 species